CUGAAUGUAGCUCAGUGGUAGAACACUUACUUAGAAUGUAUGAAGUUCUGGGUUCAAUCCCUAGUACUGGGG
rnacentral:tRNA from 1 species